GAUGAACGCUGGCGGCGUGCCUAAUACAUGCAAGUCGAACGAAACUUCUUUAUCACCGAGUGCUUGCACUCACCGAUAAAGAGUUGAGUGGCGAACGGGUGAGUAACACGUGGGCAACCUGCCCAAAAGAGGGGGAUAACACUUGGAAACAGGUGCUAAUACCGCAUAACCAUAGUUACCGCAUGGUAACUAUGUAAAAGGUGGCUAUACUACCGCUUUUGGAUGGGCCCGCGGCGCAUUAGCUAGUUGGUAGGGUAAAGGCUUACCAAGGCAAUGAUGCGUAGCCGAAUUGAGAGGUUGAUCGGCCACAUUGGGACUGAGACACGGCCCAAACUCCUACGGGAGGCAGCAGUAGGGAAUCUUCCACAAUGGGCGAAAGCCUGAUGGUGCAACGCCGCGUGGGUGAAGAAGGUCUUCGGAUCGUAAAACCCUGUUGUUAGAGAAGAAAGUGCGUGAGAGUAACUGUUCACGUUUCGACGGUAUCUAACCAGAAAGCCACUGCUAACUACGUG
rnacentral:rRNA from 1 species